GCAAGUGCACCGAUGGACUACUUGAACUCCUUUUGUUAUAGAUGCAUUGGAGAAUUUUUUGACCCUGACAUCUAGGCCUAAUUGGUUAACCUAUUAAUCAUAGUUUUUGCAAUGAGUAGAAAUGUAGUUUGAGGGAUUUGAGGGUGCAAGCCAAAUAUUUUGGGGAAGAUUCAUCAGCAAGAGUUCCAAGCUUUAGGAAGGAUGAGAAGGCCAAUGAUUAUCUGAGAUUCACUUGUUCGAUGUUCUAUAUCUGGGAAGCCGUUGAGGGUAGCAUAUACCUUAAAGAUUUGUGAAAGCCAAUUUUUUUUUUGUUUAGGCUGAUUGGCGGGAUGAAUUAUAUAGGAAAGUCGCUUUUUUUUUUUUGUCUGUUGAGCUAUGUCAUAAAAACUUUUGACUCGGAUAUGCAUGUCACAAUCUGACACAGUUACCAUUGUUAGAAAUACAUAGGUUGAUAGAGGGGUUGGGUUUUUAAGUGAAAUUAAAUACUUUCAGAGUCACAUUUCUUCAAAAGUGUCAGAUAUGUUUUUGUUUCCAUGGUGUGCAACAGAAAUAUCACAGUGGGUUCUGUAAGGGAACCCACCUUUGACGCAUAAUUAUGACACAUAAAUGCAUGUUACUUUGAUCUUGUUCCUUACAAAUAGAUGAAGCUUACAGUUGAUUGGCAGAACUCAGAGGGUUAAAAGGUUAAAGAACCUUCUAUAUGUGCUCAAAAACACCUUGUGCAACAUCUACCAUAAAGCUUGAUCAAGUUGAACGUGCUUGAUUUUUACUCAACAACUAGAGGAAAAUGUUAUGAAAACAUGGUGUAUCAUCUCCGGCUAUUACAGGCAGUGUUGCCAUUCAUGUUUUAUUUUAUCUUGAUGAAUUAUAUGCAUGUGAAUGACGCCAUUUAACCCAAAAAGUUCUUACUACCCAUUAUACACUUCUAUAGUAACACCUUGAGGGAAUGAGGAAUGAAUGUUUUUUCAAUUCCACUUUUUUUUGUUUCUACAUAAUACAGAUUGGCAUAAUAAUCUAUCAACAAAAAAAAGGACAUUGUGAUAAUAUUUUCUAAAAGCAUCGAUCAUAUUUUCUAGACAAAACAUGAGAUGUCAUUUUUCUUCAUAUGAUCAGUAUAAGUCGUGUUUACAAGGUUCAGCAAUAUCAUUUUGUUGAAUGAAGUUUUUACAGUUUUGGAUCUAAUUCUUUUUGGCUUACUGAAGUGUGAAGAGCUUGCAAGGCUUGGUGCCACAAUUGGAGAUACCCCAACAGCCGCCGUAGAAAAGUGUAAAUAUAAAGAGCCAAUGCUCAAUUCCUACCAAGGCUACAUCCUAGGCUCAAUUCCUACCAAGGGUAGGGCCCCUCUCCCUACUGACCCACCCAUAAAAAAAAUGUCGGAUCCUUCUGCUGCUCUUUUGGUUGGCACAUGAAAGUGUUUUAUUCAAGAUUAAGAAAACAUUCCCUGCACCCUCAUCCAAAUCCUUUCACUUUGGCGAAUGUUUGUACAUCAUUUUUUACGAAGAUGGUGUCCUUGAGCAAAUGUGCCCAGGAAAUGGCUAUAUCGACAUGUCAAUAGUGGAUGCUUAUGUCAUUAAAGAUCAACAUCUUAUGCUGCC
rnacentral:lncRNA from 1 species